AUUGAACGCUGGCGGCAGGCCUAACACAUGCAAGUCGAACGAGUGGCGGACGGGUGAGUAAUGUCUGGGAAACUGCCUGAUGGAGGGGGAUAACUACUGGAAACGGUAGCUAAUACCGCAUACCAUCGGAUGUGCCCAGAUGGGAUUAGCUAGUAGGUGGGGUAAAGGCUCACCUAGGCGACGAUCCCUAGCUGGUCGGAGAGGAUGACCAGCCACAUGGGAACGGAGACCCGGUCCGGACUCCACCGGGAGGCAGCAGUGGGGAAUAUUGCACAAUGGGCGCAAGCCGGAUGCAGACAUGCCGCGUGGAUGAAGAAGGCCUUCGGGUGUUAAAGUACUUUCAUCGGGGAGGCGGUACCCGCAUAAGAAGCACCGGCUAACUCCGUGCCAGCCGCCGCGGUAAUUC
rnacentral:rRNA from 1 species